UACGGAGGGUGCGAGCGUUGUCCGGAAUCACUGGGCGUAAAGGGCGCGUAGGCGGCAUGCCAAGCGUGUGGUGAAAGCCCGGGGCUCAACCCCGGGUCGGCCGUGCGGACUGGCAUGCUCGAGCACUGUAGGGGCGGGUGGAAUUCCGGGUGUAGCGGUGGAAUGCGUAGAGAUCCGGAAGAACACCGGUGGCGAAGGCGCUCUGCUGGACCUUAACUGACACUGAGGGACGAAAGCUAGGGGAGCGAAUGGG
rnacentral:rRNA from 1 species